GAUCGACCAAGACUUCAAUAUGCUCUUUGGUGAUGAAGUGACUGGAAUCUGAUGAUGAUGAUGGUGUCUGGGACUGUGAGGUUGCCGCCAUCUGCCUGUUGCUUCACCUGUUGCCUCCAACAUCCAAGGGCAAGAAGUCUGCAAAGAUCAGCGCAACGGAUGCUACUGUCCGCCUGGUGAAGUUCCUUAAGGUGGGGAGAAGCAUGGAGACCUUCCUGAAGGAAACUGGCCCUGCUCAGCCCUUUCUCCUGUGUGUUGGAGAACGAAAAAACAGCAUCCAGAAUUUCUACAUCAUCCUGGACCAAAAGGCCAUUCCCUCCAAGACGCAGACUGGAGUUGCUGCCUUUGACGAGCUCUUCAAGGCACAUUUUGCUUUUGCUGUGUCCUAUGAUGAGGCGCUGUGCAACUUCUACACCUUCAUCCAGACAACCGUGUAUGGCAUUGACGUUGGCAGUGUGAAGGAGACCCCUCGGGUGAAGGAAAUUAGAGUAAGACUUCUUCACAGUUCAUUUUGAAGAGGAACUCAUUUCUGACUUGAAAUGUUUACAUGUUACAUUUGCA
ensembl:lncRNA